rnacentral:rRNA from 1 species
CCUACGGGAGGCAGCAGUGGGGAAUCUUGGACAAUGGGCGCAAGCCUGAUCCAGCCAUGCCGCGUGAGUGAUGAAGGCCUUAGGGUCGUAAAGCUCUUUCGCCAGAGAUGAUAAUGACAGUAUCUGGUAAAGAAACCCCGGCUAACUCCGUGCCAGCAGCCGCGGUAAUACGGAGGGGGUUAGCGUUGUUCGGAAUUACUGGGCGUAAAGCGCACGUAGGCGGAUCAGAAAGUAUAGGGUGAAAUCCCAGGGCUCAACCCUGGAACUGCCUUGUAAACUCCWGGUCUUGAGUUCGAGAGAGGUGAGUGGAAUUCCGAGUGUAGAGGUGAAAUUCRUAGAUAUUCGGAGGAACACCAGUGGCGAAGGCGGCUCACUGGCUCGAUACUGACGCUGAGGUGCGAAAGUGUGGGGAGCAAACAGGAUUAGAUACCCUGGUAGUCCACACCGUAAACGAUGAAUGCCAGACGUCAGCAAGCAUGCUUGUCUGGUGUCACACCUAACGCAUUAAGCAU